UCACAACAACAUACAUGUAACCAGAAGUUCACAAAUGAAAGGACCAUGAGUUCCAAGUUCACACCAAGCAUGAACCUAAAAGAUGCAAUGAGCUCCACCGCAGCAUGUAUGCCCACCGUCAACGGCAUCCACGAUGCAAACCUACAAGUCCAUUAUCACACGCAUGAGUUUCUAAAGUUAAGUUGCAAAGAUCAAUAAGGCACAAGAGUCAACAAGCAUCAACAUAUAAGGUUCAAAUUGAAGCUAAGAAAUAUGAACAAUAUAAGCAUCAACACUUGUGGGCUCUACCAUCAACAAUGCACAAGUUGUAAGUUGAGAAGCACAAGCAACGACAAGACGCAAGCAUCAACAAUGCACAAACAUAGACAACUACCUCGAGUGAUCAUUGUUGCGGGGAGAUCGAGGCGACAUGAGCCGUAGUGGGUGGGUGUCAAUGGGCUUGCUUGGCCAGGUGUAGGUCCACCUACCACACAGUUAUUGGAGCCUUGUCCCGACUGAGAGCACCUCAAGCAUGAAACGGUGAAAUGGUAAUGCAUGAUCUUUAAGCAGGAUGGUAAGAUGCAUGAUUGAAAAGUUGGAAGACUUACAAAGUUGAAAGUAGGAAGAGGUUGAAGUGGAGGAAGAUCCGGCAAAGUGGAACCCUGCAUAUUAGCUCUGAACUGAGCGAACGCCUCCUGCAGGGAUGCCUGCUGUGUAGCCAUGAAUUGCUACUGUUGAAACAGGGGUUGUUGCAUUUUCAUGGCUUGCUCCUGUUUAAGCAGGGCAUUCUCCUGAGCCUCCUCCUGCAACCUGGUUUCUUUCUCUAGGCGGGCCUACAAUAUGCCAUCGCAACAAGUUCACCAUCGUUGCAAUACAAACAAGAAAUCACAAGGAAGGUCAAUUAAGCAAAACAUACCUCGAAUUGAUAGAGCAUGUGCAGCCCAGGUUGUGGGCGACACUCUAUAGCAGGACCUG
rnacentral:lncRNA from 1 species